rnacentral:rRNA from 1 species
GACGAACCGUGCGAACGUUGUUCGGAAUCACUGGGCGUAAAGCGCACGUAGGCGGCUUUCUAAGUCAGGGGUGAAAUCCUGGAGCUCAACUCCAGAACUGCCCUUGAUACUGGAGAGCUUGAGUCCGGGAGAGGUGAGUGGAACUGCGAGUGUAGAGGUGAAAUUCGUAGAUAUUCGCAAGAACACCAGUGGCGAAGGCGGCUCACUGGCCCGGUACUGACGCUGAGGUGCGAAAGCGUGGGGAGCAAACAGG